rnacentral:rRNA from 1 species
GACGAACGCUGGCGGCGUGCCUAAUACAUGCAAGUAGAACGCUGAAGGAGGAGCUUGCUUCUCUGGAUGAGUUGCGAACGGGUGAGUAACGCGUAGGUAACCUGCCUGGUAGUGGGGGAUAACUAUUGGAAACGAUAGCUAAUACCGCAUAAUAGCAGUUGUUGCAUGAUAACUGUUUGAAAGGUGCAAUUGCACCGCUACCAGAUGGACCUGCGUUGUAUUAGCUAGUUGGUGGGGUAACGGCUCACCAAGGCGACGAUACAUAGCCGACCUGAGAGGGUGAUCGGCCACACUGGGACUGAGACACGGCCCAGACUCCUACGGGAGGCAGCAGUAGGGAAUCUUCGGCAAUGGACGGAAGUCUGACCGAGCAACGCCGCGUGAGUGAAGAAGGUUUUCGGAUCGUAAAGCUCUGUUGUAAGAGAAGAACGAGUGUGAGAGUGGAAAGUUCACACUGUGAUGGUAUCUUACCAGAAAGGGACGGCUAACUACGUG